ACAACAGGUGGAGCUUGCGGUUUAAUUGGAUUCAACGCCGGAAAUCUUACCGGACCGACAGCAAUAUGAAGGCCAGGCUGAAGACUUUGCCGGAUUAGCUGAGAGGUGGUGCAUGGCCGUCGUCAGUUCGUACUGUGAAGCAUCCUGUUAAGUCAGGCAACGAGCGAGACCCACGCCCACAGUUGCCAGCGUACUCUCUGGAGUGACGGGUACACUGUGGGGACCGCCGCUGCUAAAGCGGAGGAAGGAAUGGGCAACGGUAGGUCAGUAUGCCCCGAAUAUCCCGGGCUACACGCGAGCUACAAUGGUUGGUACAAUGGGUAUCUACCCCGAAAGGGGACGGGAAUCUCCUAAAACCAAUCUUAGUUCGGAUUGAGGGCUGCAACUCGCCCUCAUGAAGCUGGAAUCCGUAGUAAUCGCGUUUCAACAGAACGCGGUGAAUACGUCCCUGCUCCUU
rnacentral:rRNA from 1 species